rfam:Dactylellina haptotyla CBS 200.50 unplaced genomic scaffold scaffold00024, whole genome shotgun sequence.
GGCCACUUGGCGCAAUGGUAGCGCGUUGCUCUCCUAAAGCAGAGGUUGUAGAUUCGAGUUCUACAGUGGUCG